UAUUUACGAAUAAAUGGAUUCUCGUAUCGACAUCAUAUGGACCAGCCCAACUACUCCGCGGUCACUUUGAAAGUGAAAGGGGUAAAAGCAUAUCCUUCACCUUCAAAAUGCUUAGACAUGCCUUCAACCCAAUGCAAACGAAGACUAUGAAGCAUUGCACUAGUUCCUUCCAUAGCAACUAGCACAACACAAGUAGCGAUAAACCAAAAUCCAAACAAAAUAACGACAAAGAUAGAUCCUACAAUUCCGGUCAUACGGAAUCCAUUAGCUAAGGUCAUGUUCCAUAGAACACUAGAAAGUUGAUUGUGUGCUAACGACAACGCCCAUAAACGUAGGUAACUGGCAGUGUGAGAAACACAUCCAAGACAGAACUCAAUCGUAUGAAUGACUUGAUGUAUUACAACUUCGCCAAGUUCAAAAGGCUCUGCUUGCUUUUCUUGACUAUCAACUGCCAUUAAUGCAUCCGCCUCAUCCACAUUUGGCAAGUCAGAAUUAAGACUCUGGUAUUUGUUUUCUUCAUUUGAAUGUCUGCGCCACAAAACAAAGGGUUUUACAAUCAAAAGCCAAGGUACACAAAUUAAAGCAGCGAUCACUAAACCAACUUGCAAAUAUUUUUGCCCAGGAUAGAGUUGAUCUUCUAAAGUUCCUGGAGAAAGGAACAUAAGGAUCAACAUGUUCAACAAACUUGGCGGUUGUAAAUCCUUCGCUUUCCAAUCAAUGCACCAUUUAUAAACGAUGGUAAUUACAAGAUAACCAAAGAUAGCUUCCAAAAAUAUAAGUGAAGGGACAAAAACAGCGUAAAUGUCUAACUUGCGCUUGAAAAACCGAUAGUUAGAAAGUGAUAAAAACAAACAGAAUGUCAUGUGAAUGACACCAAGAAUAAUAGAUAACUUCAUUUUAUAUGAGUUCAUAAAUAGUAAAUUGUUAUCUGCGCUAUGCCAAGUAGGAUCAAUACCAAUAGGAUAUGUACCAACUUGAACGGCUCGAGCAAUAGCUUCCUCACUUUUUACGGGCCACACCCAUCUGCUGGAGAAAAUUGACAUGGGCUUACUGAAUAAAUCAUUAUAGACAAAUCCAACAUACAUUGAAAAUAGACCCAUAAGCAAUACAAUGUAACGACCGUAAAACACCAUACCAACAAUCUCGUCUAA